rnacentral:tRNA from 1 species
CAAAUUAAAUCUUUUUUAUUUACACUAAAAAUUCAUUGUUAAUUCAAUUAAUUUGA